rnacentral:rRNA from 1 species
AGUGAACGCUGGCGGUAGGCCUAACACAUGCAAGUCGAACGGCAGCACAGUAAGAGCUUGCUCUUACGGGUGGCGAGUGGCGGACGGGUGAGGAAUACAUCGGAAUCUACUUUUUCGUUGGGGAUAACGUGGGGAAACUUACGCUAAUACCGCAUACGACCUACGGGUGAAAGCAGGGGAUCUUCGGACCUUGCGCGAUUGAAUGAGCCGAUGUCGGAUUAGCUAGUUGGCGGGGUAAAGGCCCACCAAGGCGACGAUCCGUAGCUGGUCUGAGAGGAUGAUCAGCCACACUGGAACUGAGACACGGUCCAGACGCCUACGGGAGGCAGCAGUGGGGAAUAUUGGACAAUGGGCGCAAGCCUGAUCCAGCCAUACCGCGUGGGUGAAGAAGGCCUUCGGGUUGUAAAGCCCUUUUGUUGGGAAAGAAAAGCAGCAGGUUAAUACCCCGCUGUUCUGACGGUACCCAAAGAAUAAGCACCGGCUAACUUCGUG